CGCUGGCCCUGCCUGGCCUCAGGGAAAGCUGUUUGUCGAGGUCACCUGGAAAGCCCAGGUGGCUUUUCCACGUGCAGUGGCAUUUCCUGUUCCUCUGGGACCCUACUCAACCUGGGGCCUGCCUCCCCGGGGAAGCCUCCCGACAGACCCCCCGGAGGCGGGAGCCGCAGCCAACGGACACCAGGGACACGGUCGCCACCGCCACUCAAAGGACGGGCGUGGUGGCAUUUUCAGCUUUCUGCCCUGGGCAGGAAGGGAACUCGGGUUUGAAACGAGGACACCUUCCUGCCCUCCGGCCCGGCCCGCCUCCCCAGUGAAAGGCCGAGGGAGCUAGCUCGGGGGAGCCGGCCGUGGCGUGGCCCAGGUUGAUUUAGAUUUGCGGGGAGACCGGGAUCUUGUAGGAAAUGAAGGAAAUUUCCCCAGGGAAAGGGGGAAGAGAAGAAAGAGGAGCUUAAGUGCCCAGAUAAUUAUAAAGCUUGGCAUGGUGAUUUAUGGCAGGCAGGCCGGCUCCUCUGGUCUCCACCGCCCCUCCCGUCUCAGCGCCCCCCACCGCCGCGCCCCCAGAGACCCGCUGAUGGGGGAGGCAGUGAAGCCAGCGGGCGCCGCCCAGCACCCAAGCUCUGCUUUGUGUCCUGGGGACAGAGCCCCUCUGUGUUCUGAGCCCUGACGUCUGCUGUCUGGGGACAGCCUCACGGAACCCUGAUGGGCUGCCAGCCGGGAGGCUGAGGCUCCCGCACUGACUUCACGGAGGAGCCUCAGCCAGAUGGGUCGGCCCGUUAGAACGGGGACAGUCAGGGCAGAGGCCCUGCUCAUUCUUGGUGCCGUGGGAGGGGGGCUCCGGGCCGUGGCUUUGGGCUGAAACAAGGAUCAGGGUGCGCUCUUCAGGGAAAUGACGCAGCGCACCGCGUUGACCAGGGUGCGAGAGAGGCCGUGGCUGGCCCCGGUGGGCUGCUUGGCCAAUGCGCCCUUUAGGGCCCGACUGUGGGCAGCCCGCACUAGGGGAUUUCCUCUGCUGUGACCACAACUGUCCGCUCCCACCCCCUGUAAUUCCCGGCGGAUGUCCCCUGGCUGCUGACCUGCAGGGUCAUCGUCGGCUCCCCUCCUUGCCACACACAGACUGUGCCCAAGUCUUGCCAGCUCUGCUUCUGCUCAGCGUGUCUGGGUCUCACCCAGAGAGGCGAGAUCGCCAUGCAGACUUCCGCCCUGCCUCCCGCCCUGGGGGGCUCCCGCCCAGCUCCAGGAGGAAGUCCAGUCUCCCCUUCCCGAGACGAGAGAGGCUCCCAGGAGCCUGUCAGCCCCCUCCGUGUUGGCAUCCUCCCACUUCUCUAGACGGUGGCCCAAGCAUCGCCUCCUCCUGGAGGCCCUCCUUGCUCCCCACCUGCCCCGUAUCAGUUCACGGCCCAGUCACAGUGUCUGCUCUGGAAGACUGAGCAACUCCGGAAAGACCGGCCAGCAUCACCAGCCUGGCCCAGGGCAGGCUCCUGGGGGAGUGUUUCAUGAAUGAAUGAAACAGGAUCCCGAGGCUGAAACAGAAGGGAGGGAAGGCCGUGAACCCUGUACUCAGGGUGGCGGCAUGAGCCACCUGGCUGGCCGUGUCACACGGCCAUGGCGCUCUGAGAGACAAGGGGACAGGUCUUAACUUUUUUACCUCCAGCAAUACGUUCUCUUUUAGGACUAAUCUGAGGGGACUGUGACCCCACCUCGUCAGGGACGGCAUGGCAGCAUCCGACAGGCCUGAGCCCUGAGCACCUGCGACCCACAGAGGGAGGACUCCAGAAGGUGACUCAUCCCAGAGUACCCACAAGGAGGCGGGACCCAUCAUGGUUUUUGGGAGACACUCCAGGACCACAGAACCCAGGACCCACACCUCUUCCUGCCUCCUCGUUCUGCAGGUGACCCUGAAACUCCGAUGACUCUGCCUCUCAGGUCAGUGCCGCAUUUUGAACCUUGAGAGUCAGGGCUCACCUCUUCCCCCCAGGUACCACCCUGGGCUGGGCACGUCGGAAGUGGGACUAACACACACACACACACACACACACACACACACACACACACACACACGGCUUGUGGAGGAUUGCACAGCCAGGCGCAUUCAGCUGGGUCUGCUCCGGCCUCAGCCCUGACCUGCGGCCAGCCUCCUCCUGUAGUCAAGGGACCAAGGUCUGCCAGGAGUCAGGGGCUUGCCCUGGUCUCUUGCCCCAGAGAGCUGAACUCAGGCCCAACUCUCUGGCUCUCUUCUGCACAGAAGUUCGGAGUGAAGCCCCUUCUGCCAGGAGCCGUCUGUCUGGGGGUCCAUGGUGGGAGGGUAUGGGCCAGCUGCUGGGGACGGUCCGAAGUGUCUGCGGAGUGGGCAGCACUCGGGCUCGGCAGGUGAGAAGGUCCUCGGCCGGCCGCUCCCUAGCCCAGCCACCUUGUGGCCCUGACAGGGGCCUGUGGUGCUCAGAGCCCCCAGCCCACCUGUGCUCCUCCUCUGAAAGCUGGCCCACAGGGCAGGCCAUAGGGCCGCCUUGGCUGAGUUGAGCCUCCUGGGGAGCCCAUGGGGCCAUGUGGGCCAGACGCCCCCCCCACCGUUGCCAUGGUCAGGGGCAGGCCUGCCUCCCAAGUCCAUGUGGAGAGGACCCCAGGCUGUUGCAUCUGGGCGCAGGACCUCUCUGCCAUCUGGGCCCCGUUUACAGGUCCAGCUUGCCCACAAGACUCUGCAGACGCUGCCCCCCCACCCCAGGGCUUUUGUGUCUGCACGGAGAAUGCACACCAGCCGGUGCCCGUGGCCGGGGGGAACAUGAGUGGGGAGAGGGGGAGGCCCCCAGAGGACACGAGACAGAGGGAAAGGGGGACCUGGGGGGGCAUAACAGAGGAAGGGGACGAACAGGCAGAGGCAGAGAGAAAGUGGGCAGGGCACGGGUAGAGAGAGGACACAGAGCAGAGCGUCGGAAGGUUUACUGCGGGUGGGGGGCUCGCUGGGGAAACAGGGCCUAAGGGUACAGCUGGUCCCAGAUGUCUGCAGGGCCUGCUGGGCUCUGCCCAAGACUGUCUAGUCUAGAUGCUUUCCUGGGCAUCCCUUGUGAAAUCCCCUGGUGUCCCACGGGCAGCUGUGGUAGCCUCUGGGGUCCCCGGGAAGCCCACGCCCCAGAGGUAUGUUCCUCUUGCCAGCUGGGGCACCAGAACGUGCACCUGGGUCCUGGGUCCCCAUGCCCUGAUGGACACGUGCAGGGGGCUACAGAGGUGGGUCCCCAGGAACAUGGGUGUAGGCAGGGCCAGCCACCUGGGAGGCCAGAAGGGCGACGGGCACCCAGGACAGCAGCUGACCCAGGCAUGUGGAGAGUGGCCCAGGUAGAGAAGGACAGGCCUGGGAGGGUGGGGACCCCAGGCCAGGACCGUGUUUCCCAGAGCGUGCAGCGGACGGAAAGCGUGCAGGUGAGUGCAUGCAGUAGGUGCUUAUUCUGGGCUCAUCCUGAGCCUGGGUAAUUCCCAAGAUGACCGCAGAGCCCACUCACUGCAGGGGCGAGAUCACGCUCAGGGCCAGAUGGGAGGCCCCAGCCCCAGCCCCGUGCGCACAGGCUCCUGCAGGCCCAGCACGACUGGCACUGGUCGGGGCUCAUCUUCGUCCUGUUCAGCCAGAAACAGAAGCUGGGGAUUGGGAAGAGCUCAACUCUGGCCUCACCUGUGGCCCCAGAGGGUCAGUGGGACGACGGAGCUGCCUUUUAGGAUGCUGGGCUGGGAGGUGCUGAAGGUUUUCGGGGGACGGUGACUCGGUUGGUAGGAUUUGCUUUUGAACGGAUUCCGUAUUGUUCAUCUUGAAGUCUGCCCAGACCUGGCCCAGGACGGGGAGAAGUCUGGGCACGGGAGGCUCCCUCCUGACCCUGGCCCCUUCCCCUGUGCUGAGCCCCUCCCCCACGCCCAGUACAGGCAGGAGCCACGCUCCACUGCUCGGCACCUGGUGGUGGCUUGUUCCCUGAAGGAACCCUGGGUUCCUGUGGACGGACGGGCUGCCCUGUUCUUCAGAAGUGGGUGCGCACAGGCCUGAUGCCCCACGGCAGAGCCACAGACGAGCCACGUCCGCCUGCCCCCAGGCUGACCCGUGUCUGCUGCCUGCAGUCCAGGAGGGGCCGAAAUGUAUUUUGAUGCUCAAUGUCCAGAUAGCGUUUGUUUACCCAGGUAGGAAGUAAGGCCUUACAAAGACCUCACGUUUGAUCUUCUGGUCCCAGUGAAAAUAUUGACAGAAGGCAGAACGGUGGGCUUCACUCCGCGCUCACCUCUCGGUUCCGAGCGGCGCUCUGGCUAGGGGGUGACUAACCCGGGACCGCGAGGAGAGAUGUGACAGCAAACAGAGGACGGGUUCCCACGAGAGCCUGCUUUGCGAGCUGCAUGGGACAAAAGCCACUCCCGAUGCGGGUCCUGUCACUGUGCCAGGCCCUGAGCCGGACGCCCCUCCCAUAGGAGCUGUCCCUGUUGCUGGGUGGGUGCCCCUUGCGGGGGCAGAGGCUCGGGGAGGUUAACCCUAACCCCGCCAGCCCCCAGCAACAUUUCUGGGUUUCCCGGGAGUGUGUGGCUGUGCUGAGGCAUCAGGCCGCGGGUUAUGAAGGGGCGGCCUCCCUGGAGGUCAGGCAGGAGGCUGGGGACCGGGUCUCUAGCUCAGGCUCUCCAUGCCCUGGGGCCCAGGGUGGGCUAGAGGGUUCUUCCCACUGAAGCAAAAGCAAGCAGCUCCCAGACCCACUGCGGCUGGGAGGGCCCAGGGCUGCUGUCCGUGCUCACAGGUCAGGGCUCGGUGGGACACUUGGCCUCAGACAGCUCCCUGCUUGGAGGCCUUGCUCCCCAGUAGUUAAUGGAGCUGGCAGACCAGCGGGCCAGCUCUGGGUAGGAACACACAGGCUCCCACUCUGCGGAGCAGCCCUGAGCUCCUGGCCCCAGCUUGCCUGGGACUGAGCAGCUCUUCUCCCAAGAGCACUGCACACACUGAGCCUGGCCAGCCUCAGAAGACUGGGGAGCCCGAACACCCCUGCGGUCACCUGCAGGGAGAGAAAGUGAAUGUCUCAGACGUGGGGCUGCCUGGGGUCGCCUGGUG